rnacentral:pre_miRNA from 1 species
AUAAUACUCCCUCCGUCCGGAAUUACUUGUCAUCAAAAUGGAUGUGUCUAGAACUAAAAUACAUCUAGAUACAUCCAUUUCAAUGACAAGUAUUUUCGGACGGAGAGAGUAUUCU